ACUAAAGGUUAUACCACGCUGUAAGCACAGCUUCUCUAGUUUGAUCCGUUAAGUUAAGUAACUUUGGGCCUGGUUGGUACCUAAAUCGGAGGCGGCCUGGAAAUCCCAGAUACCGUAAGCA
rnacentral:rRNA from 1 species